AAAUAACCAAUUCUAGUAACCUGAAUAAAACUGUCAAAAUUUUCUUUUGAUAGAAUCAUAUUUUUGAAUUAAAGUUAUGAUUAGAAUAUUAAUAUCUAUGGGAAGAGCUUUCUAGUCAAUUUCAAAAUCAUGUAAAUAAAAAGUAGUUUUAAUAUAUCCAUUUCUUAAAAUCAUUUCCGCAUCUACAUUAUAAUGUACUGCUUUUCUGAAGUACAUUCCUUUGAUAAUUUCAACAUUAGACCUUACAGAGUGCCUGGAUACACCAAGCAAAAUCUACUCCUGCUAAAAACCAGUCAUCCAGUCUCUGAAGUUUUACAUUUUUUAAACCAGCCUUAAAGAAAUGUUUAAAAAAGCAAUAAACCCUUCUUCACAUGUCAAGAAGUGAACAGAGAAAUGAGCAUUUUCAGCAUGAAAGCAGUUCACAGGUCUUG
rnacentral:lncRNA from 1 species